AUUGAACGCUGGCGGAAUGCUUUACACAUGCAAGUCGAACGGCAGCACGGACUUCGGUCUGGUGGCGAGUGGCGAACGGGUGAGUAAUAUAUCGGAACGUGCCCAGUCGUGGGGGAUAACGUAGUGAAAAUUACGCUAAUACCGCAUACGAUCUAAGGAUGAAAGCGGGGGAUCGCAAGACCUCGCGCGAUUGGAGCGGCCGAUAUCAGAUUAGGUAGUUGGUGAGGUAAAGGCUCACCAAGCCAACGAUCUGUAGCUGGUCUGAGAGGACGACCAGCCACACUGGAACUGAGACACGGUCCAGACUCCUACGGGAGGCAGCAGUAGGAAUAUUGGGACAAUGGGCGCAAGCCUGAUCCAGCCAUGCCGCGUGAGUGAAGAGGCCCUCGGGUUGUAAAGGCUCUUUUGUUGGGGAAGAAAAGCAGUUGGUUAAUACCCGAUUGUUCUGACGGUACCCAAAGAAUAAGCACCGGCUAACUUCGUG
rnacentral:rRNA from 1 species